UCAGCGUGAGGAAUUCGAUGUGUGGCGGGAGUGCGUGAGAUGAGACCGAAUUGCGUGAGUCUCACGCUCAAUGCGUGAGACUUGAGAGCCCUGCUAAGAACAUGGAGCUAACUCGCUAACAGCACGAAGCUAACCCUGUUUGCAGACCGAACUGGCAUCGAAACACAACGAAGAAGUUCUGAAAAACAGACACAUUCCCUCCAGAAUAAUGGAAACAGGCUGGUUACAGACAUGAUUGACUUUAACCAGAGUUAUUGAGACGUUUGACCACUUUAAAGAGAGGAGGCUACUUUUCUUUACAUAUAGUGGGUCUACUCUGUCAAACAGUUAGAAAUGCACUCUGUCAUUUCUUGUUUUCAAUGUAUUGUAUUUUAUUUUUGUUUGUUGUUCAACGAUAUUAUUGAGUGUUUGUGAAUUUUAUUUUAAUGAGCUAUAUUUAUUUAGCGUUAUGUUUAAAAAUCUGUUUCCUGCGGAAAUUGCUUUCCAUCUGUUGCACUUCCUGCUCCUGAGUCGGUCUUUCCGUCACAAUGGUUUUAUAUUGCCGAGGGUGAGUUGAGUGAAAAACGAUUUUGCACUAUUUUGGCUAUAUUCUUAAAUAAAAAUUAACCGUUUAUGUUACAUACAGUAAUGGAAUGUUAAUACGAUCCCGGCGUCCAGCUGUCGUGUCAUUUAGACUGUCAAAAUAUACGUUUGGUGGCGGUUUAAUUGAGCCACUUUCUAGCUCAUGUAGUUAUUUAUUUUGUCCAUUAGGGGUCUCUGUUUUCCCCUUGUAUGUUACAUGUCAUGGUUUUUGAUGAGAAUUGUUAUUAUUUAGAUUUAAUGUGGUCCUGUCUUCCAUGGACAAUGUUUUUUUUAUUGCUGAGGGAAGUGGAAGUGCAGAGACAAAUCAGAAGGCAAAUGUGUGUGUUCUGUUGUCUUCUGCAGAAUAAAUAAGUGCUGGGAAAAUCCACCAUCUGAGCCGACUUCUUCCAUGCCCGUUCCACAUCAGUUACAUCUGCUCUGAACCUCUUUCAUAUAUUGACAAGAAGAGGCUGAAAGAGUUGGGACCCGAACAUCCGGAUUUAAAAAUUCUGCAGCAAAGCGCAGACCGCGGGAGGACGUACACCCGGAGGUGCUCCUCAAGCCGAUAUGCUAACCGGAGCUGGUUAGCUGGAUGCUCCAUGAGUAAUUCGUUUUUUGUCUGUUUUCCAAAGUCCUGGGACGGAAACUCUCUGGACUACAACGGAGUGAGGGAUCUACAGAGCUUCAGACAAGUGUAAAGCACGAAUCUUGCCGCAGUUAUCUAGCUAAGAGCAUGAAGCUGACUCGCUAACAGCAUGAAGCUAACCCUGUUUGCAGACCGAACUGGCAUCGAAAACACAACGAAGAAGUUCUGAAAAACAGUUACAUUCCCUCCAGAAUAAUGGAAACAGGCUGGUUACAGACAUGAUUGACUUUAACCAGAGUUAUUGAGACGUUUGACCACUUUAAAGAGAGGAGGCUACUUUUCUUUACAUAUAGUGGGUCUACUCUGUCAAACAGUUAGAAAUGCACUCCGUCAUUUCUUGUUUUCAAUGUAUUGUAUUUUAUUUUUGUUUGUUGUUCAACGAUAUUAUUGAGUGUUUGUGAAUUUUAUUUUAAUGAGCUAUUUUUAUUUAGCGUUAUUUUUUAAAAUCUGUUUCCUGCGUAAAUUGCUUUCCAUCUGUUGCACUUCCUGCUCCUGAGUCCGUCUUUCCGUCACAAUGGUUUUAUAUUGCCGAGGGUGAGUUGAGUGAAAAACGAUUUUGCACUAUUAUGGCUAUAUUCUUCAAUAAAAAUUAACCGUUUAUGUUACAUACAGUAAUGGAAUGUUAAUACGAUCCCGGCGUCCAGCUGUCGUGUCAUUUAGACUGUCAAAAUAUACGUUUGGUGGCGGUUUCAUUGAGCCACUUUCUAGCUCAUGUAGUUAUUUAUUUUGUCCAUUAGGGGUCUCUGUUUUCCCCUUGUAUGUUACAUGUCAUGGUUUUUGAUGAGAAUUGUUAUUAUUUAGAUUUAAUGUGGUCCUGUCUUCCAUGGACAAUGUUUUUUUAUUGCUGAGGGAAGUGGAAGUGCAGAGACAAAUCGGAAGGCAAAUGUGUGUGUUCUGUUGUCUUCUGCAGAAUAAAUAAGUGCUGGGAAAAUCCA